rnacentral:rRNA from 1 species
CUUAAUUCGACGCAACGCGAAGAACCUUACCAAGGCUUGACAUGCAGGGAAAUCCUCCAGAGAUGGGGGGUCCGCAAGGGUCCUGCACAGGUGGUGCAUGGUUGUCGUCAGCUCGUGUCGUGAGAUGUUGGGUUAAGUCCCGCAACGAGCGCAACCCUCGUUCUAUGUUGCCAGCGCGUGAUGGCGGGGACUCAUAGGAGACUGCCGGGGUCAACUCGGAGGAAGGUGGGGACGACGUCAAAUCAUCAUGCCCCUUAUGUCUUGGGCUGCACACAUGCUACAAUGGCCGGUACAAAGGGCUGCUAAACCGUGAGGUGGAGCGAAUCCCAAAAAGCCGGUCUCAGUUCGGAUUGGGGUCUGCAACUCGACCCCAUGAAGUCGGAGUUGCUAGUAAUCGCAGAUCAGCAACGCUG